ensembl:lncRNA
CUCAUCUCCGUCAACAGCAGCUACAUUUAAGCUAACAGUUAAGGUGUGAGUUGCAAGAGUUCAGACCACUCGGUGGGCGCUUAAAUACAACGGGUUAAUAAGGACUUAAAUCCGGCGUACACCACGCCAUUUUUAGCCCAGUUUUAACCCUAAUUUUACCCUUCAGACCAAUGGCCAAGAGAGCAAACGGACCCCUUCUCGCAUAGCACGUACUACAGCGACUGAAGAAAGACUCGCUGCAGUGUGUCACUCUGAUUCACGCGAGGUGUUGGGGUGUGGGAGAUUUUUCAUGCGUCCCUCAGAAGGGUGAUAUUUUUCUAUCCGUUACGAUUGUCAAAAUCCUGUAGCGUUACAGGUCUUAGUCAAACGAAACUUCUCGCGAAGCGAAAAUCGAAAGAAGACGGCGUCGUUUACGUCUAUAUGACGUAUAACCUUGGCGCGAGCAUGCUUUGUGAUAAACGGAGAAGAGAAUACAUGAUCGGUCCUUUCUAUACCUACAGACUUGUCUGAUGAAGAAACGAGUUGAUCGAGCGCGGAUCAGCUUGCAGUCUGCUGGAGCAAGCAUCUUCCUGUUGCCUGCAAGCUGCGCAUGUGGGGUUGCGCAACUGGCUGCGCGGGAGGACAGCGACUCUGAAUGUGAAGAGCUUUUCUUCCUCUGCCAAGAACCCCUCCUCUGGUACCGGGACAGGAGUCUACCGCCAGUAGCCUGUAAAGCUGCAGAUAUUAUGAUUAUUUGUUUUGUGUUCAAUAAAUUGACCUUGAUUACAACACUGCAUUGCCUUCCAUGCAUAUUAGGUCACUACAGAAUAUCU